rnacentral:misc_RNA from 1 species
GUGAAUCAUCGAAUCUUUGAACGCAAAUUGCGCCUUUUUCGGAGGGCAUGUCUGUUUGAGGGCACCAUUUAACAAAUACUGUGCAUUUUUGUGUGCACACGUUGAUGAGCUUUCCACACUUAUGUAUUAUUUUUGGUGGCUCAUAAUAAACAGCGCGAUGCUUUUUUUCAGUUCGAGUGUAUUAAAAUUUUUUCUUUCUUUGGUUGUGAAAAAGCGUUAUCCCGCAAUUGGUGUGUCCAUUUUA